rnacentral:lncRNA from 1 species
CAAGGGUUAGGUCUAGGGGUAAAAGCGUCUUUUCCCGUAGAUUAGGUUAAGUGCAACUCGCGUCUCUAGACAGGGUAGAUGUAUUAGUGACCGGGUUGGAGAGUAGGAGGCAGCCCGGGCUCGGCACUUGUGACCGGUGCGGUCUAGAAGCUCCAGAACGGUUGCAUAGCUUCUGGCCGGUCUGGACAUAUCUUCACUCUUCUGGUCAUAACUUCUGAACGGAUAAAUAAAAAGCUCUGGUUCCACAUCGAGGCAAA